rnacentral:rRNA from 1 species
UACGAGGGGGGCGAGCGUUGUUCGGAAUUAUUGGGCGUAAAGGGUGCGUAGGCGGUUUGGUAAGUCUUAUGUGAAAUCUACAGGCUCAACUUGUAGUCUGCAUGAGAAACUGCCGGGCUUGAGUAUGGGAGAGGUGAGUGGAAUUCCUGGUGUAGCGGUGAAAUGCGUAGAUAUCAGGAGGAACACCUGUGGCGAAAGCGGCUCACUGGCUCGUAACUGACGCUCAGGCGCGACAGCGUGGGGAUCAAACAGG